UACGGAGGGGGCUAGCGUUGUUCGGAAUUACUGGGCGUAAAGCGCACGUAGGCGGUCUUUUAAGUCGGGGGUGAAAUCCUGGAGCUCAACUCCAGAACUGCCUUCGAUACUGGAAGACUCGAGUCCGGGAGAGGUGAGUGGAACUGCGAGUGUAGAGGUGAAAUUCGUAGAUAUUCGCAAGAACACCAGUGGCGAAGGCGGCUCCCUGGCCCGGUACUGACGCUGAGGUGCGAAAGCGUGGGGAGCAAACAGG
rnacentral:rRNA from 1 species